AAUCAACGCUGGCGGCGUGCCUAACACAUGCAAGUCGAACGCGAAAGCCCCUUCGGGGGCAAGUAGAGUGGCGUCCGGGUGAGUAACACGUGGGUAAUCUACCUCCGGGUGGGGAAUAACUCGCCGAAAGGCGGGCUAAUACCGCAUAAUGCAGCGGCACCGAAUGGUGAUUAGUUGUUAAAGCGGGGGACCUUAGGGCCUCGCGUCUGGAGAGGAGCCUGCGGCAGAUUAGCUUGUUGGUAGGGAAUGGCCUACCAAGGCUGCGAUCUGUAGCUGGUCUGAGAGGACGGCCAGCCACAC
rnacentral:rRNA from 1 species